CUUCAGCUGUGCUAACUGUUGUUGCUGAUCCGUUGCCUUUCUAGGACAAUGACGGAUCUCGAGUACUAAUAGCUUUUCCUACAUUCUGAGCAGUUGAUGACCCCAUGUAUCAGCUGUCUGCUGUGAAGGAGCAGCUUCUCUAGUGUGAGGUUGUCUAGUUUAUGGUCAUGACAGUGUGGCUGGACGUUCAAGAUGGUGGCAGAGUAAGAUACUCCAGCCAGAUCCCCGGAGCGGGGAGCGGGGCGAGCGCGGGCCGAGCCCCGGAGCGGGGAGAGGGGCGAGCGCGGGCCGAGCCCCGGAGCGGGGAGAGGGGCGAGCGCGGGCCGAGCCCCGGAGCGGGGAGCGGGUUCUGUGACGACACUAAAACCGCCUGUACCUAAGAUGGUGCCAAGAUGACAUUACAAACUGUUCAAUGCUCUCGUUCCACUGCUUGUGAAUAAAGGCUAUUCUAUCAAGGCCAUACUAUACUGUUUUAUUUUAGUGAUCGAAAUGAUUGAGGUGACACCCACCCCAUAUACAUUCCAAACUUCCAUAGCAGCGGACUCUUGCUGAGAGCUGUAACUGUUCACACUCUGAAUAGCUCUCCAAUGCUCAGCUCCGGCAAUGAUUUGGCAGUUUUAUCAAGGUGAAAUAUGGCUUUCUGCCAUUUCACUUUGAUUCUGUCACUCACUCCUGUUACAUAGCUCAGUUGAUUUUUCAAAGUAGUUUAGAUGCCAUCUAACAUCAGCUAUUGAUGUAGAUUACGUUCCCUGCCUUCACUAAGUAUAUUUCUUCACUCUAGGAUUGCCAUGGCCAAGCUGUGCUGGAUUUUCUUGAUUUCUUUAUGAUCCAUUAUACAGCUAGUGAGAAAGCCCCCAUGUAGCUAAUCCCACUGUGUAUCAAGCUCCAAAGUCUUAAUGAAACCUUGGGUUGGGUAGUGGCUCACAACAUUAAUAAUUUUUUAUGUUUUUCUGUGCAACAUCAAUCCCAGUGCCAAACCAGGGUCAAAAGAAGAAGUGUCUCAUCCCCCAGGCCCAUCUCCACCAGCCCCUCGCUGCUUACCUCUGGAGAGGAACAGUCACGAGCCUCAAAAGAGAACUACCAAAGUCUUCAUCCCCACCUUCACCAGCUCAUAGCCAUUCAUCUUGUUUGCUUGUCUAUGUAGAGUAGGCUCUGGGUCACACUGUGAGCACAGCACUGACAUGGACCCAUAGCUACAGUUGAAAGAAACAGCAGAGGCUUCUGACACUCUGAGUACUGCUGGAGAACAAGCUUCUUCUGUCCUCAGUCCAGAUGAGGAGCUAAUGGACCUGGUGUCAAUAAGCUGACAGAGAUGUACGGCAGCUGCUGUGCCCAGGACCAUAAGAAACUGCAGAGUUGUGAAUACAGCCCAGUCCAUCACUCAAACCAACCUUCCAUCCAUUGACUCCGCCUGAACUUCUCACUGCCUUGGGGAACUGGCCAACAUCAUCAAAGACCCCUCGCACCCCGCUUCGACUCUCUUCCAUCAGGCAGAAGAUACAAAAGCUUAAACAUACGUACCAACAGAUUCAGGGUCAGCUUCUUCCCUGCAGUUAUUACACUUCUGAAUGGGCCUCUCAAAUUUCAGAUUUAAUGUUCAUCUCCUGCUCUAUGCACAUUCUCUGCAGCUGUACCAUUGAAUUCCUCACUUUGUUCUAUUACCCUAAUGCACUUUGUAUGGUAUGAUCUGUCUGUACCACACACAGAACAGAACUUUUCACUGUACCUAGAUGUGUGUGACAAUAACAAAUCAAAUCAGUCAAAACAAGGAGAUGUCUGGCAGAGGUUCCAGCAAUGGAGCGAAGAUCACAGUGUGCCCAUGUUCUAUCCGAUGUUAUGGCUCUGGUAUAUGAGUGAAUGCACCAGGCGGCAUGUGCCUUGGAGAGCCAAGUUCAGCAGAACAGUCAGUAUGUGCUGGUUAUGUGUGGGCUCCUGCACUUCUUCGCUGGAGCCAUGGAUACAUUUGUUCGCUGGCCUAGCUAAGAGGCAGGCCAAGGGACUUUGAUCUCAAGGUGACCCUUCCCCUCGAGUGAUGAAGCAGAUGCCAUUGCUCACCAGCAGGAAGACAAAACCACAGCAAACACCAUGAGGAUGGUCACCUUAGGAUACUACAGAGGUGACCUGCCGUACUGCAUUCCUCUGCCUGGGUUCCAGAUACUUCCAUCAGGUCAGUGAGGUGGUUUCACACCCCUCUUUGUAGGGGUCUACCAGCAGGCCAGAGCACUCUGGGCCCUAGGUAACCAGAGGAUGACAAAUGAAGUCAGCUACAACAAGGCAGGAAAGCAGACAGCAGUUUCCUGAAGCCCAUCCCUGCCUCAGUGGAGGUAGCGUCAUGAUGAAGUGGGAGGAAAAGAAAGAUUAAAGGACAUUGAAAUCAUGUUGAGUGCAUAGGUGUCAUCUUUCUGUAUUAUAUGAUAUUUGACACAAAUAAAGCACUUUGUAUGACAGUC